AGAGUUUGAUCCUGGCUCACGACCAACGCUGGCGGCGUGCCUAAUACAUGCCAGUCCAACGAAACUUUCUUACCCCCAAUGCUUGCCUUCCCCGUAAGAAGUUGAGUGGCGGACGGGUGAGUAACACGUGGGUAACCUGCCUAAAAGAAGGGGAUAACCCUUGGAAACAGGUGCUAAUACCGUAUAUCUCUAAGGAUCGCAUGAUCCUUAGACGAAAGAUGGUUCUGCUAUCGCUUUUAGAUGGACCCGCGGCGUAUUAACUAGUUGGUGGGGUAACGGCCUACCAAGGUGAUGAUACGUAGCCGAACUGAGAGGUUGAUCGGCCACAUUGGGACUGAGACACGGCCCAAACUCCUACGGGAGGCAGCAGUAGGGAAUCUUCCACAAUGGACGCAAGUCUGAUGGAGCAACGCCGCGUGAGUGAAGAAGGUCUUCGGAUCGUAAAACUCUGUUGUUAGAGAAGAACACGAGUGAGAGUAACUGUUCAUUCGAUGACGGUAUCUAACCAGCAAGUCACGGCUAACUACGUGCCAGCAGCCGCGGUAAUACGUAGGUGGCAAGCGUUGUCCGGAUUUAUUGGGCGUAAAGGGAACGCAGGCGGUCUUUUAAGUCUGAUGUGAAAGCCUUCGGCUUAACCGGAGUAGUGCAUUGGAAACUGGAAGACUUGAGUGCAGAAGAGGAGAGUGGAACUCCAUGUGUAGCGGUGAAAUGCGUAGAUAUAUGGAAGAACAUCAGUGGCGAAAGCGGCUCUCUGGUCUGUAACUGACGCUGAGGUCCGAAAGCGUGGGUAGCCGACAGGAUUAGAUACCCUGG
rnacentral:rRNA from 1 species